rnacentral:rRNA from 1 species
CCUACGGGAGGCAGCAGUGGGGAAUCUUGCGCAAUGGGCGAAAGCCUGACGCAGCAACGCCGCGUGCGGGAAGAAGGCUCUCGGGUUGUAAACCGCUUUCAGCAGGAACGAAAAUGACGGUACUUGCAGAAGAAGGUGCGGCCAACUACGUGCCAGCAGCCGCGGUGACACGUAGGCACCAAGCGUUGUCCGGAUUUAUUGGGCGUAAAGAGCUCGUAGGCGGUUCGGUAAGUCGGGUGUGAAAACUUUGGGCUUAACCCAAAGCCUGCAUCCGAUACUGCUGUGACUAGAGUUCGGUAGGGGAGCGGGGAAUUCCUAGUGUAGCGGUGAAAUGCGCAGAUAUUAGGAGGAACACCGGUGGCGAAGGCGCCGCUCUGGGCCGAUACUGACGCUGAGGAGCGAAAGCGUGGGUAGCAAACAGGAUUAGAUACCCUGGUAGUCCACGCCGUAAACGUUGGGCACUAGGUGUGGGUUUCAACCAACGAAAUCCGCGCCGUCGCUAACGCAUUAAGUGCCCCGCCGUCGGGAGGUACGGCCGGCGAACGGUUAAACGUACGAAGUAGAAGUUAGACGGCGUGAGAACGUGCCGAACGGACGACGACGAGGGAGGAGG